CAAUUUAUAAUCGUGUAUGAACUAUCGUUACGAGCCGGAGAAUUCUGCACUGCUCAGACUCUACAGUCGAGUAGAAGUUUUAAAGUCUUUCAGAUACUACAGAUGUGGUUGUACUGUCUUCAUUUGUUUGGUGCUUUUUGGAUAAUAAUACGUAUUUACGUUAGUACUUUUAAAGCUUUGUGUGAGGCUAGCGAUGUCGAUCGGUGAAAUCUUUGAUUACUUAUAUUCAUCCCGGACAAAAAACUUUGAGAAUUUACAUUACAAUGAGUCUAAAUCUAUGACUUCCAAUUUACUGGUGUUUUGGUCGUCGAUAAUUGUGGCAAGCUGUUUCCUCCAAUGUUUCGGCUGGACCUGGUCAUACUUCAUUCAGAUACUAGAAGUGUGGCCUCGCAUUUUCGGUUCUUUGGAUAUCGAUGAUGAUACUGACGAAGAACAUUAACACCAAAGUUCUUCACCUCAAGCUCAAAGCUGACUCGUUGUCAGGUAUUAGUUUGUGAGAUUCUUGUAAGCAUGAUUUUAUGAUUUUAGUUCGUUCAAUGUUCAAUGAUGACGAUGUCAGUGGACAUUAAAUUUUUGAAGAAAUAUUCGUCAUGUCGUAUUCAUCAUUUAAUAUUCGCAUAAGAGUUCACAAUUACUCGUGAGGUCAUGCGUUUUAAUUUCCAUACUUCAGUUUAAAUAAUGAUUCCUGUGCACGUUAAAUUGGAAAUUGAGCGCUCAUGGCACAUAGAAAUACGUGAUACAGAAAAACAUACAUAGACAAUUUACACUUGAAAAUAAUUAAUGUUUUUAUAUAAUUGUAAUUUUAUAAGGUUCUGAUGUGUACAUAAAUACUAUAGUUGAUUAUAAUUAAAGCGAUGUAAUGAAAAUGUUAAGCAUUUGGUUCGGCCCGUGGUAACGGGCUGUACAAAUGUAAUGCGUUAAAUAUCUCAAAACAUGUGAUAGAUAUUAACACAAAUUUUGAAUAUACAAUGAGGAAUAACAUUUGGAAUACACCCAUCAAUGUUAGACAAUGUAUAUAGCGAUUAAACAUAAACAUGUAUAUAGCGAAUAAAAUAACUUCUCUAUAA